rnacentral:rRNA from 1 species
GAUGAACGCUGACAGAAUGCUUAACACAUGCAAGUCAACUUGAACUUCGGUUUGGGUGGCGGACGGGUGAGUAACGCGUAAAGAACUUGCCUCACAGCUAGGGACAACAUUUGGAAACGAAUGCUAAUACCUGAUAUUAUGAUUUUAGGACAUCCUAGAAUUAUGAAAGCUAUAUGCGCUGUGAGAGAGCUUUGCGUCCCAUUAGCUAGUUGGAGAGGUAACGGCUCACCAAGGCGAUGAUGGGUAGCCGGCCUGAGAGGGUGAACGGCCACAAGGGGACUGAGACACGGCCCUUACUCCUACGGGAGGCAGCAGUGGGGAAUAUUGGACAAUGGACCAAGAGUCUGAUCCAGCAAUUCUGUGUGCACGAUGAAGUUUUUCGGAAUGUAAAGUGCUUUCAGUUGGGAAGAAAAAAAUGACGGUACCAACAGAAGAAGAGACGGCUAAAUACGUG